rnacentral:rRNA from 1 species
GCACGGAAGAAGCGAAAGUGACGGUACGUGCAGAAGAAGCGCCGGCUAACUACGUGCCAGCAGCCGCGGUAAUACGUAGGGCGCAAGCGUUGUCCGGAAUUAUUGGGCGUAAAGAGCUCGUAGGCGGUUUGUCGCGUCUGCUGUGAAAGCCCGGGGCUUAACCCCGGGUGUGCAGUGGGUACGGGCAGACUUGAGUGCAGUAGGGGAGACUGGAAUUCCUGGUGUAGCGGUGAAAUGCGCAGAUAUCAGGAGGAACACCGAUGGCGAAGGCAGGUCUCUGGGCUGUUACUGACGCUGAGGAGCGAAAGCAUGGGGAGCGAACAGGAUUAGAUACCCUGGUAGUCCAUGCCGUAAACGUUGGGCACUAGGUGUGGGGAACAUUCCACGUUUUCCGCGCCGUAGCUAACGCAUUAAGUGCCCCGCCUGGGGAGUACGGCCGCAAGGCUAAAACUCAAAGGAAUUGACGGGGGCCCGCACAAGCGGCGGAGCAUGCGGAUUAAUUCGAUGCAACGCGAAGAACCUUACCAAGGCUUGACAUACACCGGACCGGGCCAGAGAUGGUCUUUCCCCCUUGUGGGGCUGGUGUACAGGUGGUGCAUGGUUGUCGUCAGCUCGUGUCGUGAGAUGUUGGGUUAAGUCCCGCAACGAGCGCAACCCUCGUUCUAUGUUGCCAGCACGUGAUGGUGGGGACUCAUAGGAGACUGCCGGGGUCAACUCGGAGGAAGGUGGGGAUGACGUCAAAUCAUCAUGCCCCUUAUGUCUUGGGCUUCACGCAUGCUACAAUGGCCAGUACAAUGGGUUGCGAUGCCGCGAGGUGGAGCUAAUCCCAAAAAGCUGGUCUCAGUUCGGAUCGUGGUCUGCAACUCGACCACGUGAAGUCGGAGUCGCUAGUAAUCGCAGAUCAGCAACGCUGCGGUGAAUACGUUCCCGGGCCUUGUACACACCGCCCGUCAAGUCACGAAAGUUGGUAACACCCGAAGCCGGUGGCCUAACCCUUGUGG